CUAACAAUAGUUUACUUUGAUAUUAACUGAAUUACUUCAAAAAUUCAAAAAUAAUGAUGAGAAAUUAUAGCCAACGAAAUAUUUCUCUCGUACAUCAAUAUGUAACCGUACAAUAUUCAAAAAUGAACAAAUCCAAACCCACUUUAUGAUGCCCUACGAAUAAAAAAAAAAGAGAUACUACAUGUAUAUAUGUUACUAUGAAAAAGUAACGUCGUAUUUGUAUAGUAGAAAGGUUAGAGCUGGAUUAUAUUUAUUGUAUCUACAUAAAACUACUAGGACUACUACCCAAAUAGGAUAGAACUUUAUAGAUUUUCAAUUAUAUGUCAUUUAAUUGUCUAGUAC
rnacentral:lncRNA from 1 species